GCGCUGCUGACGAGUUCCAAACAGGACGAAACAACUAUCCAGUGC
rfam:Echinostoma caproni strain Egypt genome assembly, scaffold: ECPE_scaffold0002745